rnacentral:lncRNA from 1 species
AAGGGUUAUUUGUAUGUACGACCAAGACAGAGCUGACUGAGUAGGAGGCUAUCAAGAAAGUAUGAUCUACUGUUAACUUAGAUAUUUUCUGGAACAGAGCAUGGUAAAGAAUACUCAUGAGAGAUUGUCCAGAUUUCUCCUCUUUUUCUUCAAGCCCAGAUGUUCUGGUUUUUCCUCAAUCCAUUGAAUUGCCUUGCCACCUGAUGCUGAAGUCCCAGAAUUUCCCGCUGGAAAUUGCUGUGCAGAGAGGCAGGAGUGGACCAAUUUAGAGAAAAGAGGCUUAGAUACACUGUUGCGAGCAGAUGAUGAAGGUCUGGAAUAACUGCCAAUUCCUCUCCUCGCAUGUGACAGCAGCAAACCCAGAUGUGCAGGAUUUUUCAAUGGCCUGGAACUUGCCAAGUGGGCUAAGCUGGCUGGCCAGGGACUGACCUUCACCUGUCUCUGCUUCCCAGCACUGGAUUAUAAGCGAGCAUGACCACCGUGCUUAAUUUUGAAAACUGAAUUUAGUGUGGACUCAGGGUAUUGGCCUUGUCUUCUCAUGCUUCCUCACUGAGCUGCCUCUCGGCCCUGUGCUGGACAAGGAUGGAGUUUCAAGGAGAUGUGCUGGAUCAAUGGAUAAUGGCAUUGUCUCUGGCUUAAUGCUUCUGUGGUUCAAGGGAAGGAGUGUCAAAAGCUGAAGCUGGAGAACAAGGUUGGAUGUUGGAGAAUCUCACAAAGUCUUAGAGACAGAGCUGGAGCUAGCUUGUAUUGACUGUGACUUUCCAGAAACGUUGCAGGGAACUACUGUUUUUCUAAAGAAAUCAAAGGCAGAUUUUUAAGUUUGGAAAAAAAAACCCAGCAAAUGAAGAGGCCAUAGUUUAAAAGUUGCAAAUCCAACUUGGAGACACCAAUAUUUCUGCAAGUUCUUACUUCAAAGGGCGGAGGAUGGAACAGGGCAGGCCGAUGAGGGAAAAUCUUGUUAUUGGCAAAGUUGGUUUAGGAACUAACAAUCUUUCCUCAAAGGCUCAUGGGAGAAACAGAGCUUUGAAGGCAGUUGAACUAAAGCCUUUUGUGGGAUUACUGAACGAUGCAAGGAUUACUGAAUGAGAGUGCAGAAACUGGACAAGGUGCAAAAAGCUGCAGGCCAGCAUGUCCUGAAGACCUGAGGAUUCUGGGAGAUGUUAGUGAAGGGAACUACAAACUGAAACUCUGUCCUUCAGCACUCUGUGAGAAAGACAGGAAAGGUUGUGGCCCUUAGUGGUAACAAGUCCAAGUAUAACAUCAAUGGUUGAAUUAAAGAAAUCUUGCUCUGCA